rnacentral:rRNA from 1 species
CUACGGGAGGCAGCAGUGGGGAAUAUUGCGCAAUGGGGGAAACCCUGACGCAGCGACGUCGUGUGAGGGAAGAAGGCCUUCGGGUCGUAAACCUCUGUCAGGAGGGAAGAACCGCCGGUGGUCGAAUAGGCCUCCGGCCUGACGGUACCUCCAGAGGAAGCGCCGGCUAACUCCGUGCCAGCAGCCGCGGUAAUACGGAGGGCGCAAGCGUUAAUCGGAAUCACUGGGCGUAAAGCGUGCGUAGGCUGUUUGAUAAGUCAGGCGUGAAAUCCCUCGGCUCAACCGGGGAACUGCGCUUGAUACUGUCGAACUUGAGUCCUGGAGAGGGUGGCGGAAUUCCUGGUGUAGGAGUGAAAUCCGUAGAUAUCAGGAGGAACACCGGUGGCGAAGGCGGCCACCUGGACAGGUACUGACGCUGAGGCACGAAAGCGUGGGGAGCAAACAGGAUUAGAUACCCCGGUAGC